rnacentral:rRNA from 1 species
GACGAACCGUGCGAACGUUAUUCGGAAUCACUGGGCUUAAAGCGCGUGUAGGCGGACGGGGACGUCGGUCGCUGAAAUCCCCCGGCUCAACCGGGGAACGGGCGCCGAAACGCCCCGUCUCGAGGGACGUAGGGGGACCUGGAACUUCCGGUGGAGCGGUGAAAUGCGUUGAGAUCGGAAGGAACGCCCGUGGCGAAAGCGAGGUCCUGGACGUCUACUGACGCUGAGACGCGAAAGCUAGGGGAGCGAACAGG